CUAACAAGGAUUCCCCUAGUAACUGCGAGUGAAGCGGGAAAAGCUCAAAUUUAAAAUCUGGCGGUCUCUGGCCGUCCGAGUUGUAAUCUAGAGAAGUAAUGCCCGUGCUGGACCGUGUAUAAGUCUCCUGGGAUGGGGCGUCAUAGAGGGUGAGAAUCCCGUCUUUGACACGGACUACCAGUGCAUUGUGGUAUGCUCUCAAAGAGUCGAGUUGUUUGGGAAUGCAGCUCAAAAUGGGUGGUAAAUUCCAUCUAAAGCUAAAUAUUGGCGAGAGACCGAUAGCGAACAAGUACCGUGAGGGAAAGAUGAAAAGAACUUUGGAAAGAGAGUUAAACAGUACGUGAAAUUGCUGAAAGGGAAACGCUUGAAGUCAGUCGCGUUGGCCAGGGAUCAGCCUUGCUUUUGCAUGGUGUACUUUCUGGUUGACGGGUCAGCAUCAAUUUUGACUGCUGGAAAAGGGCCUUGGGAAUGUGGCAGCUUUGGCUGUGUUAUAGCCCCUGGUCGCAUACAGUGGUUGGGAUUGAGGAACUCAGCACGCCGCAAGGCCGGGUUUCGACCACGUUCGUGCUUAGGAUGCUGGCAUAAUGGCUUUAAGCGACCCGUCUUGAAACACGGACCAAGGAGUCUAACAUGCCUGCGAGUAUUUGGGUGGAAAACCCGAGUGCGCAAUGAAAGUGAAAGUUGAGAUCCCUGUCGUGGGGGAGCAUCGACGCCCGGACCAGAACUUUUGGGACGGAUCCGCGGUGGAGCAUGUAUGUUGGGACCCGAAAGAUGGUGAACUAUGCCUGAAUAGGGUGAAGCCAGAGGAAACUCUGGUGGAGGCUCGUAGCGAUUCUGACGUGCAAAUCGAUCGUCAAAUUUGGGUAUAGG
rnacentral:rRNA from 1 species